ACGACACGUGUGAUUUCGAAGCUUGAUUCAAACUUCUGGGAAAAAUCCUCAUCGAUCAUUUAAUGGAUGAAGAUCUGUGUAUUCAAACUGCGUAACACAACAAGAAGCUAAGUCCCCUCCUGUUCCCUGAUUAAGGGGUGAUGACAACUCCACUGCACUACCAGUGUCAACUCUCUCCUGACAUGAACUGAAGCCAUGUCUCAUGUGCCCUCUCAUCCACUGGCACAUUGAAGGUUUCCUCUCCGAGCACUUCAAAUCCUGUGCUGCCCUCAGUGUGAGAGUUGAGCUCUUCUCCAACACCAUCCAUGCAUGAUGAGCCUGUCCUGCACUGAAGCCUAUGAAGACCUCAACCCCUGUUCUGCACUGAAGUCAAGCCUCUGAACACCUCAACUCAUGCCUCAUACCCUCAUUCAAUCACUGCUGUGAUCCCUUCC
ensembl:lncRNA